rnacentral:rRNA from 2 species
UUAAGCGACUAAGCGUACACGGUGGAUGCCCUGGCAGUCAGAGGCGAUGAAGGACGUGCUAAUCUGCGAUAAGCGUCGGUGAGGUGAUAUGAACCGUUAUAACCGGCGAUUUCCGAAUGGGGAAACCCAGUGUGUUUCGACACACUAUCAUUAACUGAAUCCAUAGGUUAAUGAGGCGAACCGGGGGAACUGAAACAUCUAAGUACCCCGAGGAAAAGAAAUCAACCGAGAUUCCCCCAGUAGCGGCGAGCGAACGGGGAGGAGCCCAGAGCCUGAAUCAGUGUGUGUGUUAGUGGAAGCGUCUGGAAAGGCGUGCGAUACAGGGUGACAGCCCCGUACACAAAAAUGCACAUAUUGUGAGCUCGAUGAGUAGGGCGGGACACGUGGUAUCCUGUCUGAAUAUGGGGGGACCAUCCUCCAAGGCUAAAUACUCCUGACUGACCGAUAGUGAACCAGUACCGUGAGGGAAAGGCGAAAAGAACCCCGGCGAGGGGAGUGAAAAAGAACCUGAAACCGUGUACGUACAAGCAGUGGGAGCCUCUUAAUGGGGUGACUGCGUACCUUUUGUAUAAUGGGUCAGCGACUUAUAUUCUGUAGCAAGGUUAACCGAAUAGGGGAGCCGAAGGGAAACCGAGUCUUAACUGGGCGUUAAGUUGCAGGGUAUAGACCCGAAACCCGGUGAUCUAGCCAUGGGCAGGUUGAAGGUUGGGUAACACUAACUGGAGGACCGAACCGACUAAUGUUGAAAAAUUAGCGGAUGACUUGUGGCUGGGGGUGAAAGGCCAAUCAAACCGGGAGAUAGCUGGUUCUCCCCGAAAGCUAUUUAGGUAGCGCCUCGUGAAUUCAUCUCCGGGGGUAGAGCACUGUUUCGGCAAGGGAGUCAUCCCGACUUACCAACCCGAUGCAAACUGCGAAUACCGGAGAAUGUUAUCACGGGAGACACACGGCGGGUGCUAACGUCCGUCGUGAAGAGGGAAACAACCCAGACCGCCAGCUAAGGUCCCAAAGUCAUGGUUAAGUGGGAAACGAUGUGGGAAGGCCCAGACAGCCAGGAUGUUGGCUUAGAAGCAGCCAUCAUUUAAAGAAAGCGUAAUAGCUCACUGGUCGAGUCGGCCUGCGCGGAAGAUGUAACGGGGCUAAACCAUGCACCGAAGCUGCGGCAGCGACACUAUGUGUUGUUGGGUAGGGGAGCGUUCUGUAAGCCUGUGAAGGUGGCCUGUGAGGGUUGCUGGAGGUAUCAGAAGUGCGAAUGCUGACAUAAGUAACGAUAAAGCGGGUGAAAAGCCCGCUCGCCGGAAGACCAAGGGUUCCUGUCCAACGUUAAUCGGGGCAGGGUGAGUCGACCCCUAAGGCGAGGCCGAAAGGCGUAGUCGAUGGGAAACAGGUUAAUAUUCCUGUACUUGGUGUUACUGCGAAGGGGGGACGGAGAAGGCUAUGUUGGCCGGGCGACGGUUGUCCCGGUUUAAGCGUGUAGGCUGGUUUUCCAGGCAAAUCCGGAAAACCAAGGCUGAGGCGUGAUGACGAGGCACUACGGUGCUGAAGCGACAAAUGCCCUGCUUCCAGGAAAAGCCUCUAAGCAUCAGGUAACAUCAAAUCGUACCCCAAACCGACACAGGUGGUCAGGUAGAGAAUACCAAGGCGCUUGAGAGAACUCGGGUGAAGGAACUAGGCAAAAUGGUGCCGUAACUUCGGGAGAAGGCACGCUGAUAUGUAGGUGAAGCGACUUGCUCGUGGAGCUGAAAUCAGUCGAAGAUACCAGCUGGCUGCAACUGUUUAUUAAAAACACAGCACUGUGCAAACACGAAAGUGGACGUAUACGGUGUGACGCCUGCCCGGUGCCGGAAGGUUAAUUGAUGGGGUUAGCGGUAACGCGAAGCUCUUGAUCGAAGCCCCGGUAAACGGCGGCCGUAACUAUAACGGUCCUAAGGUAGCGAAAUUCCUUGUCGGGUAAGUUCCGACCUGCACGAAUGGCGUAAUGAUGGCCAGGCUGUCUCCACCCGAGACUCAGUGAAAUUGAACUCGCUGUGAAGAUGCAGUGUACCCGCGGCAAGACGGAAAGACCCCGUGAACCUUUACUAUAGCUUGACACUGAACAUUGAGCCUUGAUGUGUAGGAUAGGUGGGAGGCUUUGAAGUGUGGACGCCAGUCUGCAUGGAGCCGACCUUGAAAUACCACCCUUUAAUGUUUGAUGUUCUAACGUUGGCCCGUAAUCCGGGUUGCGGACAGUGUCUGGUGGGUAGUUUGACUGGGGCGGUCUCCUCCUAAAGAGUAACGGAGGAGCACGAAGGUUGGCUAAUCCUGGUCGGACAUCAGGAGGUUAGUGCAAUGGCAUAAGCCAGCUUGACUGCGAGCGUGACGGCGCGAGCAGGUGCGAAAGCAGGUCAUAGUGAUCCGGUGGUUCUGAAUGGAAGGGCCAUCGCUCAACGGAUAAAAGGUACUCCGGGGAUAACAGGCUGAUACCGCCCAAGAGUUCAUAUCGACGGCGGUGUUUGGCACCUCGAUGUCGGCUCAUCACAUCCUGGGGCUGAAGUAGGUCCCAAGGGUAUGGCUGUUCGCCAUUUAAAGUGGUACGCGAGCUGGGUUUAGAACGUCGUGAGACAGUUCGGUCCCUAUCUGCCGUGGGCGCUGGAGAACUGAGGGGGGCUGCUCCUAGUACGAGAGGACCGGAGUGGACGCAUCACUGGUGUUCGGGUUGUCAUGCCAAUGGCACUGCCCGGUAGCUAAAUGCGGAAGAGAUAAGUGCUGAAAGCAUCUAAGCACGAAACUUGCCCCGAGAUGAGUUCUCCCUGACUCCUUGAGGGUCCUGAAGGAACGUUGAAGACGACGACGUUGAUAGGCCGGGUGUGUAAGCGCAGCGAUGCGUUGAGCUAACCGGUACUAAUGAACCGUGAGGCUUAACCUU